AUGGUGCUGUCCCAGAGACAACGACAUGAACUACAUCGAGCUAUAGCAGAUUAUCUUUGUUCAAAUGGCUAUGAAGAGACAUACUCUGUUUUUAAUAAGGAAGAUGAACUAGAUAUGAAGUAUGCUGGCCUUUGGGGGAAAAUGGAUAUCUGUUGUUAGAUUAUUUUAAAAAUGUAGUGGGAUUAAGAAUCAAAACUAAAUGAAGCAAAAGAAGAAUUUAUGUCUUGGUGAGAAACGAGACCCAAAAGAAUGGAUUCACUGUCCACCUGAGAAAUACUCAUCGACUGGUCAUGCGAGUCCAGUUACUGGAGUCAUUAUCCAUCCUGUGUUCAGUGUUAUGGUCUCUGCCUUGGACGAUGCUACAAUUAAGGUGUGGGAUUAUGAGACUGGAGAUUUUGAGUGAACGCUCAAGGGCCAUACAGACUCUGUACAGGACUUUUCCUUUGACCACAGUGCAAGCUUCUGGCUUUUUGUUCUACAGAUGUAAUGAUUAAAUUAUGGGACUUUCAGGGUUUUGAGUGCAUCAGAACCACAACCACAGUGCCUCUUCAGUAGCCAUCAUGCCUAAUGGAGAUCAUAUAGUGUCUGCCUCAAGGGAUAAAACUAUAAAAAUGUGGGAAGUGCAAACUGGCUACUGUGUGAAGACAUUCAUAGGACACAGAGAAUGGGUCACAUGGUGGAAUGCAUUUCCUGGGCUCCAGAAAGUUCAUAUUCUUCCAUCUCUGAACCAACAGGAUCUGAGACUAAAAAGAGGUGGCAAGCCUGGACCCUUCUUUGUUCCAGAGACAAAACUAUUAAGAUGUGGGAUGUCAGUACUGGCAUGUGCCUUAUGACUCUUGCGGGCCAUGAUAACUGGGUACGUGGAGUUCUGUUCCAUUCUCGGAGGAAGUUUGGGUUGUGCUCUGUAUGGGAUUACAAUAACAAGCGAUGCAUGAAGAUCUUCAGUGCGCAUGAACCCUUUGUUACCUCCUUGGAUUUCCAUAAGACGGCACCCUAUGUGGUUACUGGCAGUGUAGAUCAAACAGUAAAGGUAUGGGAGUGCCAUU
rnacentral:lncRNA from 1 species